rnacentral:rRNA from 1 species
GACGAACGCUGGCGGCGUGCCUAAUACAUGCAAGUUGAACGCUAAAGGCCUGUAUUUGUAGGCACCUCGAGUGGCGAACAGGGGAGUAUCACGUGAGGGACCUGCCCUUUACAUUGGGAGAACAUCAUUGAACACGGGCGAAUACCCGACAUGAAAUCCUGCUACAUAAUGUGUGAGGGUGAAAUACGGAGUUUGAUCAUUCACACACGGCUUAGCGUUGUAUUAGCGAGGUGGUGAGGUACAGGCUCAUUAAGGGGAUGUUACAUAGCCGACCUGAGCGGGUGAUCGGCCACAUUGGGACGGAGACACGGCCCAAACUCCUACGGGAGGCAGCAGUAGGGAAUCUUCGGCAAUGGACGAAAGUCUGACCGAGCAACGCCGCGUGAGUGAAGAAGGUUUUCGGAUCGUAAAACUCUGUUGGUAGAGAAGAACGUUGGUGAGAGUGGAAAGCUCAUCAAGUGACGGUAACUACCCAGAAAGGGACGGCUAACUACGUG